rnacentral:lncRNA from 1 species
GGACCUCCACACACACACAGGUGAGCAUGAGGAGGUUUUUCAGAGCACACAGGGACGAGGACUGCAGCCAGAUCCAGUACCUGACGGCCAAGUGCACCCGCCUGGCUCAUGACAAAGCAGUGCUGGACAGGGACUUCCUGGUGAGCAGAGAGCGGGAGAGGAAGCUGCAGAAUGACCUGGAAGCUCUGGCAGCUCAGUUUCUCCUACAGCAGCAGGAGAACAUGGAGCUCAGGAUGAACCAGGACCAACUCAUCAGCAGGAUCCGCCAGCAGCAGGACGUGGCGGACAUGCUGCAGCAGCGCUUGGGCCUUCUGGUGCAGGAAAGCUCUCGGGAUGCGGAGCUGCUCCAGCAGGUUGGCUCGGAGCUGCUGUGUCUGCAGAGCUCCGAGGUUCAGCUUGAGGGCCUGGUGGCGGAGCUGCACGCCGAGGCCCGGCACAGGGCUGCGGUGGCUGAAGACCUCCAGGCAGAGCUGCAGGCUGAGGCCCAGCGCAGAGCCGCACUGACAGAGAGCCUCCACAUGGAGCUGCACGGUAAGACGUUACAGGUUGAGGAGCUACAAGACGCCAACAGAUCUCUGACUGCAGAGCUGGAGGAUCUGCACAGAGCUCAUCAGAAGGAGGUGAGAGAACUGCGGCAGGAGAACGAGGGAAGUCUGAAGAAGCUACAGGAGACAGCGGAGCAGUUUGAGUGGCUCUGUCAGCAGCAGCGUUACUGGAUGUGCUGUGUCAAGAGGUUCAAAGACGGCCAGAUGGAGGAGAGAGACGCUCUGCUGCAGCAGGUCAGCGUGCUGGAGAAGGAAGCUGAGAAACUGAGGAAGCGUUCCUGUGACAACAGUCCGACACAGAGCCGCCACUGCCCCCUGCAGGACACUGAGAGCUGUGACAGAAUUGCAUCAUGGGACGAAGACGCAGCGGCUGACUUGGAGUCUCAGGUGGAGAAGUCAAACCUCCUGUACCAGGCAGGGAGCCCAAACAACAGACACCAAAAACCUCCAUGAGGACAGAAGCCUGGAGGCUGGACGGCUUCACUUUCUCUUCCCACCUCCUGCAAACCAGGAGAUAACCGCUCCAUGUUUGUGUGUGUGGUUAGCUUACUUCACUGUCUUUGUUUCAGAAAGCCAAACAGUCUUACAAAAACAUACCUGUGAAACCAUGCGGCCAUUGUUUGCUUUGUUUUCCUCCCACCAUUGUCCCCUGUGUGAUAUAUGACUGAAUUAAAACUCAUACUGAGCGCCUGUCCUCCUCCUCCUCCUCCUGCUGCUGUCACACAUGCACAUCACAUGUGCCUCAAUGUUGUCUGGUCACAUUUUUCAGUAAUUGUCCAUUAUUCCAACCUUGUAAUCAACACCACUAACAACAGCAUGAGCACCUGAGAAUGUUCCCUUUCUGUUGUUUUGCCAAUAAAUCCUGCAGCAGCUGGAGCGCA